rnacentral:rRNA from 1 species
AGCAGCCGCGGUAAUUCCAGCUCCAAUAGCGUAUAUUAAAGUUGUUGCAGUUAAAAAGCUCGUAGUUGAAUUUCGGGGUCAGUAGGUCGGUCGUGCCACUGGUAUGAACUGGUUUUACUGAUUCCUCCCUCUUGAAGAACUGUAAUGCCAUUAAUUUGGUGUUGCAGGGAAUCAGGACUGUUACUUUGAAAAAAUUAGAGUGUUUAAAGCAGGCUUUAGCUUGAAUACAUUAGCAUGGAAUAAUGAAAUAGGACGUUUGAUCCUAUUUUGUUGGUUUCUAGGAUUGACGUAAUGAUUAAUAGGGAUAGUUGGGGGCAUUAGUAUUCAAUUGUCAGAGGUGAAAUUCUUGGAUUUAUUGAAGACUAACUACUGCGAAAGCAUUUGCCAAGGAUGUUUUCAUUAAUCAAGAACGAAAGUUAGGGGAUCGAAGACGAUCAGAUACCGUCGUAGUCUUAACCAUAAACUAUGCCGACUAGGGAUCGGA